rnacentral:snRNA from 1 species
GGAUGUGAGGGCGAUCUGACUGCAACAUCUGUCACCCCAUUGAUCACCAGGGUUGAUUUGGCUGAUCUGGCUGGCUAGGCGGGUGUCCCCUUUCUCCCUCACUGCUCCACGUACAUCCUUCCCGAAGCUGCAUGCUCGGUCGAGGAGGACGACCUUCCCCUAGAGGAGAGGACUGUUCUUCGGUCAAGGGUAUAUGAGUAACGGCGCUCCCCUGCUAGAACCUCCAAAGAAACACAUCAACAGGAAUACAAUAAUAGUAGGGAACUUUAACACUCCCCUCACUGAAAUGGACAGAUCAU